UCAAAUAGAAAUAAGUAAAUUAAAGUGUUUAUGAGGCCAAUGUCCGUUUACAAAAUUCUGGGCCUAAAUUAAACCCAAACCUAUUUACAAAUUACCUAUGGCCCAACAAUUACACCCAAAAUCCUAACCCAAUAAACCCACAUCCCAACCCAGUUUACAAAUAGCCCAAAUCCGAGGCCCAACAAGACCCAAAAAGAAGCUCAGCAACCGAAUAGUGCCAGAAGCUUUUGGAAUACAGUGGAAUGGCAUAAGAGAGUGGGCUCCUUACCCCCGCGUGUGGUCUCCAUGUCACCGGGUCAUCUUCCGCGUACAACCGAGCCUGCAAAAGAAUACACCAGAAGGAGCCAAUAACAGAAUUCACAACAAAUGACAGUAGGAAAAUAGGAUUUUAAAAUCUUUUAUUUAUUUUGUAAAUUUGGCUAUAAAAAGCCGUUGAUGUAAUCCUUUAAUUUUUACACACACUGUACGCAUACAGACAUACACUAUACGCAUAUUGAAUAGAAAAAAUUUAAAAACCGUUUCUGAAAAGGUGAUCUUCUUUAGUCUUUUUAAUUUCUCUAUUAUUUUUAUUUGUUUUCCUGCCAUUUUUUUCGUCAUCGGAAUUUCAAAACAAAGAAGAGGGAAAGGCAAGUCUUACCUUGCGGAUCAGCCCUUGACCUUUGUUCACUUCGUUGAGAUCAAAGUUGGAAGAGGGAUCCAAGGGCGUCAUCUGUCAAUCAUGGUGUUGGAAGUAUACUUGAAACGACGCCAAUGAAAUCCCAAAUAUCUCAGAAAUAUUGAGAUACGGACGAGGGUCGGAUGGUAUUAAGUAUUUUUUUUAUAUUUAGCUUCAUUUUUCUCGAAUGAACAGUAUUAGAUCUAAAUUUUUUUUAAAAAAAAGAAAAUAAAAUGGUUUACCAGAUUUCCUCGAGUGGAGCCUUCGACGGUGAGAUCUGGUCGCUGCUCGUGCAUUGUCGGCCACCAAAUGAAAUGGUGGUUCGGUGGCUGCUGGAAUGAGCCCUAACAAAUUGAUUUUAGGGCUGUGUAUCUUGGUUAGAAUAAU
rnacentral:lncRNA from 1 species